CGCAUAUUUUGCGAUGGCGGAGCUCGACCGCCGGUCGAAGUGAUGGUCGGGUUCAUCGACGAUCAUCGGGAGGCGCACGGGGUCGAGCCGAUCUGCAGGGUUCUGCCGAUCGCCCCA
rfam:Defluviimonas sp. 20V17 contig229, whole genome shotgun sequence.